GGGAAAUGUUCAUUUGGCUGAAACGGCGCACAGGACUGCAGACCUUUACCCCCCUCUCCUCUCCAGCCUGCACAAGGUUAUUGCAGAAGAAGAAAAGCUUGCAUGCUCAAACUCCUCUGGAUAAAAAUGCCAUUCAAGUGGUAUUAUGCAGCAUUAAGGUCGACGUACAGCUGCAAGAAAAAACGAUUCAGCAUUUCUUCCAGUUCAAACAAUCACAUGGGAAGUCAACUUUAAAAUCUGGCCACCAGCAACUCAAAUCUGGAAAAUCACCAACUCUGCACUUAAACACUUCUGUUGCUGUAGUCCUGACUGCAAAGAAACACAAAUCCUGAAACAAGAGCCUGUUGCUGCUUGUGUCCGUCCUGCCAGCAGCAGCUUGUGGUUGGAGACCAACUAUAAUUCAACAUGUAACUCCAUCCACAGACGUCGAGCAAAACAUAGAAGCUGCCUGCUUAGUCAUUCUCCAGUGGUUUCAACAGAUGUCAGAUUUACUCUUCUGUGGACGAGCAGCUGUUUGAAACAAGCAACAACUAUAUACAAACGUUACACUGAGACGUCUGUUACUGUUUACGAUGACAUAAACAUUGAUUGCCUGCUUCAUUUUUCUCAUUCUAAUUCGGCCUGUUAUUUGAACUAUGCAUUAAUAUUAUUGUUUUAUUGCAAAUCUCUGUUUAUUAUUAUAUAAUCACGUCAUUUAUUAAGUUUGAAUUCCGUGACGUUUUUAUAUUCCAUGUUAUAAAAUUAUAUAUUCUCCAUUUGCAUUGAUGGUUUUCACCUGUUUCUGACAUCGUAUAAGACGACAGUCACCAUUAACGACCAGGGACCGCAGUGAAGUGUAAAAUAACGCUCCGCCUGGUGUACCUGGUCGCUCUGCACCUCUCCAAGCCUGCAGCACUUCCAGCCCUACAAGGACAGACGGAGAGGAGAGCGACUUAUUGGAUUCGAUUCCCACCCAGCAGUGACUUAUACGCUCAACCUAUAUGUCACAGAUGGCAGGAUUUCAGUGUGGCUGAUAUAGGAAACCCACUAAGAAGUAUUGAUCUGUGCAAGAUCUGCUCCCUCUGCCUGAUCUCCACAGGAUCUGAACAUAUGCAGAGAGCUGCAGGGGAGAGGAGCCGCUGGAAUCUCACUCUGUACCAGAAAACACUCAAGUAUUAAUAUUCAGCUUCACAAAAAUAUUUUAUUCUUUAUCUUAACUGUCUCUGAUGAGUAUCUGCAGAAGAAACCAAUGUUCUUCACCUUUUCAGAAUCAGGGGUAUAAAUAAUAAAUAAAUGUUAUUGACAAAUACUGUUAACAUUAAUUCAGAAUUGAUUAUGACUUGUGGUUUUAAUUUCAGAACUUAAAGUUCUGUCAUUGACAUGUUCUGCCAGGAGAAUUAUAAUAAACAACAUGUCUCAGUAUCGUAGAUUUCCAUGACAGACAAGAAACAACUUGAUUAUUCAGAUCUCAGAAUAAUCCAAUAGAUAUAUAGAUAGUCACUAUGAUGUUAAACAUUU